UAGGGAAUCUUCGGCAAUGGGGGCAACCCUGACCGAGCAACGCCGCGUGAGUGAAGAAGGUUUUCGGAUCGUAAAUCUCUGUUGUAAGUCAAGAACGGGUGUGAGAGUGGAAAGUUCACACUGUGACGGUAGCUUACCAGAAAGGGACGGCUAACUACGUGCCAGCAGCCGCGGUAAUACGUAGGUCCCGAGCGUUGUCCGGAUUUAUUGGGCGUAAAGCGAGCGCAGGCGGUUUGAUAAGUCUGAAGUUAAAGGCUGUGGCUCAACCAUAGUUCGCUUUGGAAACUGUCAAACUUGAGUGCAGAAGGGGAGAGUGGAAUUCCAUGUGUAGCGGUGAAAUGCGUAGAUAUAUGGAGGAACACCGGUGGCGAAAGCGGCUCUCUGGUCUGUAACUGACGCUGAGGCUCGAAAGCGUGGGGAGCGAACAGG
rnacentral:rRNA from 1 species